rnacentral:rRNA from 1 species
GGCUCAGGAUGAACGCUGGCGGCGUGCCUAAUACAUGCAAGUCGAACGAGUUCUCGUUGAUGAUCGGUGCUUGCACCGAGAUUCAACAUGGAACGAGUGGCGGACGGGUGAGUAACACGUGGGUAACCUGCCCUUAAGUGGGGGAUAACAUUUGGAAACAGAUGCUAAUACCGCAUAGAUCCAAGAACCGCAUGGUUCUUGGCUGAAAGAUGGCGUAAGCUAUCGCUUUUGGAUGGACCCGCGGCGUAUUAGCUAGUUGGUGAGGUAAUGGCUCACCAAGGCGAUGAUACGUAGCCGAACUGAGAGGUUGAUCGGCCACAUUGGGACUGAGACACGGCCCAAACUCCUACGGGAGGCAGCAGUAGGGAAUCUUCCACAAUGGACGCAAGUCUGAUGGAGCAACGCCGCGUGAGUGAAGAAGGCUUUCGGGUCGUAAAACUCUGUUGUUGGAGAAGAAUGGUCGGCAGAGUAACUG